rnacentral:snRNA from 1 species
GUACUUACCUGGAGGUGCCAUGGUCAGGAAGGUGGCUUCCCAGGGCGAGGCUUACCCAUGGAACCCAGAUGUGCUGACCCCUGCGACUUUCCCAAGUGUGAUUUGUGGUAGUGGGGGACUGUGUUUACACUCUCCCCUG